rnacentral:misc_RNA from 1 species
GGAAAAGAAAAUUAUAUUACUGUACAUGAAUCUUGAAAGGGAGCUUCAUCUUACAUAAAAAAUAAAGUACACAUCUUAUAAAAUCUAUAGCUUGUAAUUUCUAAUUAAAUUGUAAAUUAAUAAUAAUUAUAGACAAUUGGUUGAGACAAAUCUCUCUUCAUGUAUGACAUCCCAUCCAUGAAUCCCUAGUGAAUCACCAGGGAACAAGCAACAGACAAGACCAUCUGCAUUCUCUCACCAAAAACCACAAGAUUACAAAUCUCCAAUCUUAAAUUAAAGUAUUUUGGUCUCGAAAUUUACUAAUCAACGCAUAAAUAAUGCAUUUUGCAUGUGAGGACUAGGCGAAUAAGGCCAAAAACAGCAGUAUAACUAAAAUCUUACGUAACAUUCCUCAAUUUCCUCCUCCUCUCUCUCCCAAUUCAACAACUACUCCUCCUCCGUGGCUUCGCUGGAACUUUACCGGAACGUCGACGCAAACCCACGAUAAGAUCCACGAAAGCACUCAAUAUGAACUUAUGUGACUUCUUUUCAUUUAAGUCCAAGUAACAGAACAAAAGUUCUUGCAUGAAAUCCCAACCCACCUUCCCUUUCUCUUGUAAUCUUGCUUCCACCAUUUCCUGCAUGGACUGCCGGAAAUCGUCGUUCGGUCUCCGAGAGUACUUUAUUAGUGCGACACAAUCGUUAGGAAGUGCAACGUUUAUGUUCUUUACGUCAAUACUAUUAGAACAACUUAUCGCAGAGUCAAUUAUGGUGUUGCAGCUGGUUGAGGUUGAACUUGAUUCUCCUUCCACGGAGGUGGCGGUCAGACUCGACCGGGCCUCCUCGAUGAGCGAUCUGGACGAGCCAGCGGUGACGAAGAAUCGGUGGGACCCACAGAGGUCCGGUGGUAUGUCAUAGAACCUAGGGGAUAAUUCAUCAUGAUCGUGAUAUAAUACCCAGCGUGGACUGCGAACUUGAUCAUAAUCUCUAUCUUCUUCUUCUUCUUGUCGUUCUUCUCCUUCUUCACUUUUCUUCUUUGGGUAAUGAUCAUCCUCGCCAUUUUUAAUAUAAAGAGAUUUAAAAUUCUCAAAGAGGAAGCGAUCAAUAUCGGAGAGUGUCGCCGCACCAUCCCUGUCUUUGUCCCCCUCGACGUUUAGGCUACGAUCAGUGGUAAAUGAUGGGGUCUUGGGGUUUCUGCAGCCAGAUAAAACCCAGUUCUUAGAAUAUGAAAAAGAAAUAGGAGGAGUAGGGGGUUUGAUCUUAGAGAGGUAAGCAUGGAGGGACUUUUGGAGUUUCGCUGGCAUUUUCUCGUAUUGAACUAGGAGGAGUAGCUUGUUUUGAGAGUUAUCUGCUAAAAGACAAUGGCUGAG